rnacentral:lncRNA from 1 species
CCCCUCCCCUAGAUCCAUCUACUUUGGGGCCACAUCAGAGUCUCGCCCACAAAUAUUGUUUACAGUGAUUGUUUUUUCCCAUUAUAGUGCACUUACAUGGCAGGAAAAAAUCCUCGCCAUAUUCCAAGCAUGUCAUGAUCCCAAUUUCCUUUUUUUUUAAAAAUCCCCAGAGGCCUCCUGGAUAUGACUGAACAGAGCCAGCCUCUCUCACAGUGCUCGGGAAUGAGGAGAUUUGGAACAGGUGAAGCUUAUUUGGGUCUGCCUGAAGCAGACAGACUGACACGUGCUACCCCCAUUCCUCUGGGAUCCUCUUCCCGGAGCCCAUCUCUGGCUUCUAUGUGCUGAGUUUGCCAUGCAAAGGGAAGUUUUCACUCCUUGGCCCAAGGGGCAUUUGACCUCCUUCCAAGCACAGCCCUUCUCUGCAUGCUACAGAAAGUUUUGCUCAGGGAGGGGAGGACAACCUCAGAAAUCCCCUCAAGGACUCUGAAGGACUCAGAUUGUUUCCACAGGCAACCCUGUAGAUUAACACUAACCUGCUUCCUUAAUUUUAUCGUCUAUUUGGAUUUAAAGCAUAAAAGUUAAUGCCCAUACAUUUCCAAGGCAAUAAAGGGGAAAGACCACAGUAAAGAUGACUGGUCUAGCAGGCAGAGCAGAGCCCCGGAGAGCAGCAGUCACUUGUCAGGGAGGGCAAACACUGAACAUGGUGGUGUUGAAAGCAUAAAACUUAAUGCAGAGUGUGUGUGCGUCAACCAGCCGUGUUCAACUGCCAUAGCAGGCAUUGUACCAUCUCCACACAGGGAUAAAAACCAGUCAUGCCUUGUUUUAAAUGGCCAAGGAAGUAGUCUAGCUACUUGCAUAGGAGCCAUGAACCUGCCUUACUUAGAGCCUCAUCCCAUCCACAUGUUCAGAGCCAUUGCGGUUGCCCCUGGUGCCCUGGUCCACUGGUUCUCCAGGGCCAUGGGGAAAAGGAACCUAAACACCAGCAGAUGCAUGGAGAGGUGGGGGAAGGGGAUGAGAGGGAGCCUGAGGGAACUGAGACUAAUACUUUCUGCUUGUAGCCUGUAAGAAAUAUUUGUAGACCCAGUUUCAGUCAAUAAAUAUUUAUGAAGCACCUCCUCUGCGCCAGGCUCUGUCGGUGCUCUCUGGCCCAGUGGGAAAUAAGGGCUGGUAGGCAGACAGCUACAAUGGAGGGACUACAGGACAUUUGACCUAGGCCUGGACUCUCGGGGAAGGCUGUCCUGGAAAUGGCAGCCCCGCUGGUAGCAGGCAGAGUGGGAGAUGAACUGGGGGUGGAAGAGCACACAUCCCAUCCCGGAGACAAAGGACACCUGGCUGGGUAGGAAAAGUAGGGGUCUUCAGUGCUUCCAGGGCCUGGGGGUUGGGGAUGGAGAGGAGGCUGGGUAGGGGCGGGGAGGUGGGUAGAAGGGGAGAGAGAUGGGACUGGAGAGAUGAGAAGGACAGCCUGUCAAGGCCUGAGAUACCAUGGUAGGGGAGGUAAGUGGUUCCUCUCAGAAUGAGAAGCCGUUAAAAGGCUCAAGGCAGAGGAGUUACUUGGGUGAGAUGGGAGAAGUGCUCAGGCUUGAGAGCUGUUUUGCAGGCCCAUUCAAUUUUGCAAAGCAUGAGCCUAGGAGUCAGGGACAGCCCAGCCUAGUGUGGGACUGCCACUGGGUCUCUGGGGGAUCCCUCCAGGCCCUGUUUCCUCAGCUAUAGAGUGAGAAGAUGGAAGAGAUGGUCUCAAAGGUCUCCUAGCUCUGGCAGAGUGGAAAUUCUCUUUGCUUGCUUAAAAAAUUUUUUUAAUCCAGAGUCAAACAUCACCCAGCUCCACUCCUGCCAGCUCUCUUAGCAACUGCUCGCUCCUUCUCCUCCACCCCUCAGCAACUGCCUGACACUCAUCCCAGCUCCUUCUCCCAGCUCAGGAGCAGCCCCAUCCCAAUGCCCCCUUAGGACGGGGGCCACACUCUAGAAACUCUGAAGCCGCCCUCACCCUCUAAUCAGGACAAGAGACACCAGUUACAGCCAUUCUGGCCUCCUGUGGAUGUGCUCGGGACCCCAAUCCAUUUGGCCCUUGGCCAGAAGGAGCAGAUGCUAAGGCUACCCCUCCCAGAGUCCACUUGAGUAUAAUGACUUGAAGCAGCUCUCUUCAAUCUCUUAGAUUGAUUUAGCCCACACGUUUUUAAUAAUUGUGUAGCAUUUCCCAUUCUAUGAAGCAUGUUCACCUACUGCAUAUUUAUUGAAGGGAAGUGGAAAGAAAGUGAGCAAGUUACAUCUGAUGUUGGCUGAGCCUGUUUCUAUAUCUGUCUACCCCAAGGAAUGAGGAGGGCGCCCAUCUCUGUAUAGUUCUGUGAUUCCUGUGAGUGCACAUGAGUGCAUCAGCAGUAUUUCCCGGGUAUGUUCUAGGUGCGAUCACAGAGAUCUCUGUAUUGUUUUAAUAGAUUUUACUUUUUAGAACAAUUUUAGGUUAUGGAAAAAUUGCUAAAAAAAGAGUUCCCAUACACCUCAUCUGUUUCUGUCUUUCUGUUUCUCUCUCUCUCUCUCUCUCUCACACACACACACACACCUUUUUUUAUUUUAACAUCUUGCACUAGUGUGGUACAACUGUUACAACUGAUUAAUCAAUAUGUGGUAUAUAAUAUUAACUGAAGUCAAGAGCCAAGCCUAAUGUAAACUAUUGACUUUAGUUAAUAUUAUAUACCACGUACUUUCCAAUAUAUCUUUACAUUUCCUCCAUGUCUUCUUGAUCUCUUUACUCUAAAAGGAAAAGGUGAGCAGCCCAGUGUGCAGCACUUGAAACUCCACAGACUUCAUAGGCUUCUUGGCUUGUGGAGCUGGAGAAGCUUAUGAGAGGCCAGUGAGUCUAUACCAUGGUCUCUCCCCGCGAGGCCAUCGAGGCCUUGGGGAAAGACCAUCCCACAGGUUCCCUCAAUACCAUGCUCCAGGGGAUGACAACUUCUUCCUUCUAUCUUCUCAUCCCCUGUGGCCUUUGGUUGAGAUUUUGUCACACAUGCAUGCCCCCUGGCCCCAGGGCCUUCUGUCUCUUCUUCAGACUUUACAAUCUUUACAUUCAUUUCAAUCCCCUUACCAACACUUCUGGAAACCCCAGCGUUGCCACUGUGCUCAAAGCUGAGGGUCCUAAAGGGAUGAAAUGAAUCUAGAGGGGAGGCAAACAUGCACAUAGGAAAUUAUAAACCUCGGGGAGGGGCAGGGACAGCGCCAUGUACCGGAUGCCUUGUGAGUGCAUAGGAGAGGCCGCUAGCCCCACUUGGGAGGUAGAGAAAAAUCUCCCAGAGAAAGGGACAGCUAAGCCCCUUGGCACACCGUGAUUAUCUUCUUUUUGUGCACAUACAAGCCACUCUUUCCCCACCUUCCAAUACAAUCUCAGAGCUAAAUGGGACUCUAAAUCUCAGGCAUCUGGUAACUAUUUUUCAUUCUGAUUGUUGAAUCAUCUCCAGUUUGCCACUGAGAAUUCCUCUAAGCCCAUAUUGGCUAAUCAGUUCCCUUGGAGCACAGGUCUUUAACCCACCAGAAAGCAGCCUGCCCUGGUAUUGUCUAGCUCAUGUUUCCAAAUCUGUCCUCACGGAUUUCAUGAGAGCUGGGAGCAGAUGCUCUAUGGAAAGCCAUCUGCAGAUUCCCCUCCACCCCCACCUCCCACCAAGCCAUCAGGAGAGCAGAGCCAUAAAGAAGAACGAAGUUUGUCUGGCAUGAUUUGUUCUUUGUUAACUUAUGAUCUUACAGUGAUUUGUUUGUUGUUGUUAUAAAAAAGAAUAUUUAUUUAGAAUAAAAAUACCCAAUCUCAUACCAGUCAGAAUGGCUAUUAUUAAAAAGUCAAAAAAUGACAAUGAUUCUUAUCAACCACACAUUUGGCAUCUAAGGGCUGACGAGACGUAGGUUUAGUAAUUGAUCCAGAUGCUUGUCUAACAUCGGCAUGGAAUUCACAAGGCAAGGAAUUCCCAAGUCCAUAGGUCACAGGAGGUCCACAGAAGGCCCGCCUUCUCCUGCAUUUUUGUCAAACACUGUCCCAGAUGAGCCCCUUCAGUCUCUUAGGAGUGCUCUGACCUCUGUAGUUUCUCACGGGCCCCUAACCUUUGUUUAGCAGUAUCAGCUUUGGGUUUUCUGGGUAUCUGGAAUGGCAUUUGGGCAGUGCUACCUAUUGAUUUAACUCAUGGGCACUGAAAUUAGACACAUCUGGGCUUACAUUUCAGUUCUGUCAUUUACAGAA